GGGGAAUAUUGCACAAUGGGCGGAAGCCUGAUGCAGCGACGCCGCGUGAGGGAUGACGGCCUUCGGGUUGUAAACCUCUUUCAGCAGGGACGAAGCGCAAGUGACGGUACCUGCAGAAGAAGCACCGGCUAACUACGUGCCAGCAGCCGCGGUAAUACGUAGGGUGCGAGCGUUGUCCGGAAUUACUGGGCGUAAAGAGUUCGUAGGCGGUUUGUCACGUCGUGUGUGAAAUCCCACAGCUUAACUGUGGGCUUGCAGGCGAUACGGGCAGACUUGAGUACUGCAGGGGAGACUGGAAUUCCUGGUGUAGCGGUGAAAUGCGCAGAUAUCGGGAGGAACACCGGUGGCGAAGGCGGGUCUCUGGGCAGUAACUGACGCUGAGGAACGAAAGCGUGGGGAGCAAAC
rnacentral:rRNA from 1 species